CGGUUGCCUCAUUGUUCUUACUGCCGAUGAUAGUUCUUUUAGAGCCUUGCCGGAUUCCAAGCUCAUUUUCGUGCAUGCCUCCUGGAUUUUACUGCGAAUUUCUGGCGGCGCCUGCAACUGCGGAGGAAGAUACUGAGAGUUGAGGUAGCCACUAAGCGCCUCUAUUCGGUAGGCGCAGUCGCGGGUUAGAUUUCCAAUUUCAAGGUAUUGUUUCCAAGGAUGGCGGAACGGGAACCGGCCAUGACAAGGCUCCCAGCUUGCAAAAUUAGCCUGCCAGAACAUCAUUUCAAAAUCGGAGGCUUUAACUAAAUUUUCAGAACUUUUUGGAUUGAGAGACACAGAACUUUGUUACCCACCAAGGAUUCUUCAGUACUUCUUGAAUUGAGAACAUUUUUGUAUUCUUGCAGAAACGACUUGUCAUCGUUAGCCUCUCCAUCCACUGAUGUUUUGAAGUAUUCACCUCCAAAUCCUAUGAAUAAUGCUCAUAAAUUGAAGGAGAAAUGGACAAUAUAUAUAUAAGUUUUUUCUUCU